GAUGAAGAACGUAGCGAAAUGCGAUAAGUAGUGUGAAUUGCAGAAUUCAGUGAAUCAUCGAAUCUUUGAACGCACAUUGCGCCCCUUGGUAUCCCGAGGGGCAUGCCUGUUCGAGCGUCAUUUCACCACUCAAGCCUGGCUUGGUGUUGGGCGACGUCCCCUUUAGGGACGCGCCUCGAAACGCUCGGCGGCGUGGCACCGGCUUUAAGCGUAGCAGAAUCUUUCGCUUUGGAAGUCGGGGCCCCGCCUGCCGGAAUACCUACUCGUAAGGUUGACCUCGGAUCAGGCAGGGAUACCCGCUGCACUUAAGCAUAUCAAUAAGCGGAGGA
rnacentral:misc_RNA from 1 species